rnacentral:rRNA from 1 species
AUGGCAAACAGGAGGACGUGGGACACAGACCACUUCUGCGCUGCGGACAUUAGCCCGACGUUUCCAGGAUUUGUGCGCAGAUCCAAGCUUACAUCACGGCGGUACCUCGUCGACGACUGCCUCACAAUCAGGUGCGUCGUCACCCUCGUCAAUCCUCGCACGGAGCGCACGACGGCCGGCCCGGCAGCCGCCGCUCCGCUGCCGGAGAUGCUCGGCCACCUCGAGCGCAUGCUCAGAGACGGCAAGGGCGCAGACGUGACAAUCGACGUCGCCGGCCGAGCGUUCCGCGUGCACCGGUGCAUGCUCGCCGCGCGCUCGCCGGUUUUCGACGCCGAGCUCUUUGGCCCGAUGAAGGGCAAGGGCACGGAGCACAUUGAGGUACCCGACAUGGAGCCGGCGGUCUUCGAGAUGCUCCUGCGCUUCAUCUACACGGACUCGCUGCUGGGCGACGGCGAGGACUGCGGCGUCGCGAUGACGCAGCACCUGCUGGUUGCCGCGGAUCGGUACGGGGUGGACAAGCUGAAGCAGGCGUGCGACGUGAAGCUGCGCAGAAGCUUGGACGUGCGGACCGUGGCGACCACGUUGGCGCUGGCGGAGCAGCACCAGUGCCCGCUGCUGAGGGACUCGUGCUUGAAAUUUAUGUCGUCGUCCCCGAAUGUGCUGGCAGACGUCCUGAAAACCGACGGGUUCAGACAUCUCACGUGUUUCAAGGAAUAA